rnacentral:rRNA from 1 species
GAAUGCUGACAUAAGUAACGAUAAAGCGGGUGAAAAGCCCGCUCGCCGGAAGACCAAGGGUUCCUGUCCAACGUUAAUCGGGGCAGGGUGAGUCGACCCCUAAGGCGAGGCCGAAAGGCGUAGUCGAUGGGAAACAGGUUAAUAUUCCUGUACUUGGUGUUACUGCGAAGGGGGGACGGAGAAGGCUAUGUUGGCCGGGCGACGGUUGUCCCGGUUUAAGCGUGUAGGCUGGUUUUCCAGGCAAAUCCGGAAAAUCAAGGCUGAGGCGUGAUGACGAGGCACUACGGUGCUGAAGCGACAAAUGCCCUGCUUCCAGGAAAAGCCUCUAAGCAUCAGGUAACAUCAAAUCGUACCCCAAACCGACACAGGUGGUCAGGUAGAGAAUACCAAGGCGCUUGAGAGAACUCGGGUGAAGGAACUAGGCAAAAUGGUGCCGUAACUUCGGGAGAAGGCACGCUGAUAUGUAGGUGAAGCGACUUGCUCGUGGAGCUGAAAUCAGUCGAAGAUACCAGCUGGCUGCAACUGUUUAUUAAAAACACAGCACUGUGCAAACACGAAAGUGGACG